rnacentral:lncRNA from 1 species
ACCUACUUAGCACAACAAAAUAAACACCAUUAGAUAACCACAUAAAGCAGUAAACAGAAGAGAAAGCACACAAUAUCUAGAAACUUAUGUGCAUCCACAUCCACCCCAUGAAGCCAACCAGCCUCCUCCUCGGCACACAAAAAGUCUACUCAGCGGUGGUUGCUCCUUGUCUCACCGCUGUACAGCCUGCAGUUCCAAAAAUUCAUACAUCAGCCAUUAAAUAAAACCACAACAACAAAGAAAGUAAAGGUAAUCAGGUGUGAUUUUUUUGUUUCUAAAAGCGAGAGGUGGAGAGGUUUUAUUAGAUACCAGUCGUAAACGGUGGGAGAGUUGGGCUGAGGCUUGUCAAAAUAGUUGGAACCGAUGUUCUUGGUGGCUAGGUUGCUCCCCGGGUUGAACACGCUUCGCCACACGUUCGCCUUGCGCGCAGAGGAGGGUGUGGUGGGCGUCGCCGGCGUGGCCGGGGUCGUCGGUGUCGUCGGCAUCGACAUCGACCUCUGAUACUUGCUG